rnacentral:tRNA from 1 species
GGAGAGGUACCCAAGUUCGGCCAAAGGGGGCAGACUGUAAAUCUGCUGGCUUUCGCCUUCACUGGUUCAAAUCCAGUCCUCUCCACCA